ACAUGCCUACAACAUAGUGUUAAUGCAUAGGAUCUCAUUAGAACUCCGUAGUUAAGCGCGCUCGGGUUAGAGUAGUACUAGGAUGGGUGACUGCCCGGGAAGUCCUAGUGUUUUACAUGCC
rfam:Picea glauca, whole genome shotgun sequence.